rnacentral:rRNA from 1 species
AUGUGCUAUAGGGAGAACAUGAAAUUGCUUGCACAAGGUGAUGCUGAUACUGCCAUAGGAAUCAUGUUGACCAGAAAGGACAAAGAUCCAGAUUUCUUCUUUGAGCACACAGUUGACGCUGAAGGCAGGCUCCAAAACCUGUUCUGGUGUGGUUUGCAGUCACGCCGGGAUUAUCUAGACUAUGGUGAUGUUGUCGUCUUCGACAGCACAUACAAGAUGAACAGGUAUGGAAUGUCGUUCAUCCCUUUUGUGGGUCUGAACAACCACCGUUGCACUACGGUAUUCGCUUGCGCCAUUGUUUCAGACGAGACUGAGGCUACAUAUGUUUGGUUGCUUAACACGUUUUUGAAAGCUAACUGUCAGAAGAGGCCCAAAUCUGUAAUUACCGAUGGAGAUGCAGCGAUGAUAAGGGCUAUCAGGAAGGUGCUUUCUGACGUGUGGCAUCGUCUAUGUUCAUGUCAUAUUGAAAAGAAUAUGCAGAAACACCUCAACCACAAGUCAUUGAAGGAGUUCAGGGCAUUAUUGUACUAUGCCACUACACAUAAGGUUUUUGAGGAGAGAUGGGCCGCGUUUGUGCGCUAA